UGGGGAAUUUUGCACAAUGGGGGAAACCCUGAUGCAGCGACGCCGCGUGAUUUAGAAGGCCUUCGGGUUGUAAAAAUCUUUUCUAUGGGAAGAAAAUGACAGUACCAUAGGAAUAAGGACCGGCUAAUUACGUGCCAGCAGCCGCGGUAAUACGUAAGGUCCGAGCGUUGUCCGGAAUCAUUGGGCGUAAAGGGUACGUAGGCGGGUAAGCAAGUUAGAAGUGAAAUCCUAUAGCUCAACUAUAGUAAGCUUUUAAAACUGCUCAUCUUGAGAUAUGGAAAGGAAAGUGGAAUACCUAGUGUAGCGGUGAAAUGCGCAGAUAUUAGGAGUAAUACCGGUGGCGAAGGCGACUUUCUGGCCAUAACCUGACGCUGAGGUACGAAAGCGUGGGUAGCAAACAGG
rnacentral:rRNA from 1 species